AACAGCAUAAACACAGAAAAUUGAGCUAGAUUUUAAAAAUGGUUUCAGUUGUGAUAAUCUCGGGUGCUAAUAAUGCUAGUACUUAGUACUCCGCUACUAUUGCCGAUCAUUCAUUAUAGGUACUAGAUAAUACUUAGUCCUGCCUUGAGUGCAGGGCGAUGGACUAGAGGACCUCUUGUGGUCCCUUCCAGUGCUAGGAUUGUAUGAUUAUGGCCUAAUUAUUACAUAGUCCUGCCUCAGUGCAGGGGACUGGACUAAAUGACCUACUGAGGUCCCUUCCAGUCCUGCACGUCGAUGAUUAUGUUCGGAAAGACUAACCAAGAAUUGUGCAAAGCGCUGCCCAGAGUACUAGACGAUAAUGUCGCUUUCCCAUACCUGCUUCAAAGAGCUCAUAUGCAACCGUAAAUUACCACGUGUUGGAUUAGAAAGAUGAAGAACCUGAAGCACAGAGCGUUUAAAUGACGGAGCCAAACUCACGCAGGGAUGGGAACAGGGAGGCGCUCGCGGACCGUGAGCUGUCGCUAGUGUUUAAAGCGUUGAGACUUGGGUUUCAAACGAGUCUUCCGCGGCGCUCUUGUAUGCGUCACUUUGCGCACGGUCCCUUAGAGUGGGACAGCGGGCUGUUAUGGAGGGUGGAGGCGGGAGGGCUGCGCGCGCGCUCUCACAGUGCCCCCUGGGUUGCGGGCCGGAAGCAGGAAAGCUAGCGGAGAGGGGCGUGUCUGAGCCGCGCAGGCCCGGAAACAGGGCGAGACUAACUCAGCAACGCAGCCAGUGACCCCUGCCGAGCGGCAUGGAACCUUCCUCCCUUCCCUUCACGCGCUGCUGACUUGGGCAGUGUGGGGGCGGCACGUGCUUUCAGUGGAGAGUCCGCCCAAGCAGCAGCGGCUGUUGCAAGGGGGUGACUGCGGGAGGAUGAGGCGCAGUCGUUGUAGCUGUAGGUGGUGCUUUGAGGUGACUGUGUGCCCUUGGCUGCCAAACAGGCGCAAGGGGGACCCGCCACUGAUUGUCUUCCUCUGCCACUAGCCCCUGCUGCUACUACCUCCCUGGUUUUGGUGUAUAGCAGCUACGGUCAGUUGGUUCUUCGUCCUUUCCUGUGUAAGGGGAAUUCAUAGCACCGGAGAACAAAAUACUGUAUAAGUAGAGCCCUGCAGUGGAUACAAAAUGUGUAUCUGCGUCUGAUCCGUGAUCUGCAAACGUCACUGGAUAUAAAGUGGAAAUCUGCAGAUUUGCAGGGCUCUAAAUAUAAGGAGCGAUCCUGCACUGGUGGGAGCAGGGGAAGGUGUGCAGAGGGAUGUACUAUAAAUGAUCAGACUUGUGUACUUGCACUUUUUGAAGAUGAAUGAAUUUAAAUAUAAAUACCAGUACAUUCCUUCCACAAACCUGAGGAGAUCACAACAUCCAGAUUUUAUGCCUCUGGGACAGAAGGCUUUGAAACCCAAAUUGCCAACCUGGUGGAAAUGUUUUUGGUUGAAGUGUACAGGUGCAAAUUUUGUCAGUUCACAAGCAGUAUCAAGAAUAGAAUCAGAACUCCUAUGACUAACAUUCACAAACAGGGUAGAAUUUGCCACAUUUCUGAGUGCCUUGAAAUGGGCCCAGAUGAAGAUGACUCAUACAGCAUAGGGGAUGAAAUCAGCCAAGAAAACAAAGAAAAUGAAGAAAACCUUGCAAAGAUGUCAUUUGUUGCCCAUGUACCAGAUGCUUCAUAAAAUGAGCCCUGAAUGCUGUGAUGUGAGCCUGGGGAGUUACCGUGAUAAUCCUAAUGGCUCUCAUUCUUGUAAGGUAAACACACUGUUUGAAGAAGAAGCAGGUCAGUUUCAGCUUGAGGAGCCCUGCUUAUAUUCCUCUCAUAUUCCACAGACCCCAAUGAAUCU